rnacentral:rRNA from 1 species
CAGUCGAACGGAGAUUAUACGCAGAGGCGAUUUCGGUCAAAUCAUGUGUAAUCUUAGUGGCGGACGGGUGAGUAACGCGUGGGUAACCUGCCUUACACUGGGGGAUAACACUUAGAAAUAGGUGCUAAUACCGCAUAAGCGCACGAAGCCGCAUGGAUUUGUGUGAAAAACUCCGGUGGUGUAAGAUGGACCCGCGUCUGAUUAGCUUGUUGGCGGGGUAACGGCCCACCAAGGCGACGAUCAGUAGCCGGCCUGAGAGGGUGGACGGCCACAUUGGGACUGAGACACGGCCCAAACUCCUACGGGAGGCAGCAGUGGGGGAUAUUGGACAAUGGGGGGAACCCUGAUCCAGCGACGCCGCGUGAGUGAAGAAGUAUUUCGGUAUGUAAAGCUCUGUCAGCAGGGAAGAAAGAAAUGACGGUACCUGACCAAGAAGCCCCGGCUAACUACGUGCCAGCAGCCGCGGUAAUACGUAGGGGGCAAGCGUUAUCCGGAAUUACUGGGUGUAAAGGGAGCGUAGACGGUUAAGUAAGUCUGGAGUGAAAGGCCGGGGCCCAACCCCGGGACUGCUCUGGAAACUAUUCAACUUGAGUGCAGGAGAGGUAAGCGGAAUUCCUAGUGUAGCGGUGAAAUGCGUAGAUAUUAGGAGGAACACCAGUGGCGAAGGCGGCUUACUGGACUGUAACUGACGUUGAGGCUCGAAAGCGUGGGGAGCAAACAGGAUUAGAUACCCUGGUAGUCCACGCCGUAAACGAUGAUUA